rnacentral:rRNA from 1 species
AUUGAACGCUGGCGGAAUGCUUUACACAUGCAAGUCGAACGGCAGCACGGACUUCGGUCUGGUGGCGAGUGGCGAACGGGUGAGUAAUGUAUCGGAACGUGCCCAGUCGUGGGGGAUAACGUAGUGAAAAUUACGCUAAUACCGCAUACGAUCUAUGGAUGAAAGCGGGGGAUCGCAAGACCUCGCGCGAUUGGAGCGGCCGAUAUCAGAUUAGGUAGUUGGUGGGGUAAAGGCCCACCAAGCCAACGAUCUGUAUCUGGUCUGAGAGGACGAACAGCCAAACUGGAACUGAGACACGGUCCAGACUCCUACGGGAGGCAGCAGUGGGGAAUUUUGGACAAUGGGCGAAAGCCUGAUUCAGCCAUUCCGCGUGCAGGAUGAAGGCCCUCGGGUUGUAAACUGCUUUUGUACAGAACGAAAAGGUUUCUACUAAUACUAGGAGCUCAUGACGGUACUGUAAGAAUAAGCACCGGCUAACUACGUGCCAGCAGCCGCUGUAA